UACGUAGGUGGCAAGCGUUAUCCGGAAUUAUUGGGCGUAAAGCGCGCGCAGGCGGUUUUCUUAAGUCUGAUGUGAAAGCCCACGGCUCAACCGUGGAGGGUCAUUGGAAACUGGGGAACUUGAGUGCAGAAGAGAAAAGCGGAAUUCCACGUGUAGCGGUGAAAUGCGUAGAGAUGUGGAGGAACACCAGUGGCGAAGGCGGCUUUUUGGUCUGUAACUGACGCUGAGGCGCGAAAGCGUGGGGAGCAACAGGAUUAGAAACCCUUGUGA
rnacentral:rRNA from 1 species